GACGAACGCUGGCGGCGUGCCUAAUACAUGCAAGUCGAGCGCUUCUUUCCUCCCGAGUGCUUGCACUCAAUUGGAAAGAGGAGUGGCGGACGGGUGAGUAACACGUGGGUAACCUACCCAUCAGAGGGGGAUAACACUUGGAAACAGGUGCUAAUACCGCAUAACAGUUUAUGCCGCAUGGCAUAAGAGUGAAAGGCGCUUUCGGGUGUCGCUGAUGGAUGGACCCGCGGUGCAUUAGCUAGUUGGUGAGGUAACGGCUCACCAAGGCCACGAUGCAUAGCCGACCUGUGAGGGUGAUCGGCCACUCUGGGACUGAGACCCGGCCCAGACUCCGACGGGAGGCAGCAGUAGGGAAUCUUCGGCAAUGGACGAAAGUCUGACCGAGCAACGCCGCGUGAGUGAAGAAGGUUUUCGGAUCGUAAAACUCUGUUGUUAGAGAAGAACAAGGACGUUAGUAACUGAACGUCCCCUGACGGUAUCUAACCAGAAAGCCACGGCUAACUACGU
rnacentral:rRNA from 1 species